GGGAAACAGGAAAAGACCGGUGUUGCUCGGGUGCAGAGUGACUCAGGUGCCGGCUGCAUUGCAUUGGGAUCACAUGAAAGCCUGUUGGAAAACAAGUUGCCUGUGGUUUUCUGGGAUGGCAUGAGGGAAAAGGAGCUUGUGCAUGUGCUUGGCUUACCAAGAGAAAGCGGUAUCCAUUACAUGGCAGAGCAAGGCUGGUGCACUUCGCUGGAUAAACUGUGAGUCUUGGAAAGUCCAUCGGAUGCAGCCCCAGAGAGGUGGCUGUGUUUCUGCACUGUAUGAGGUGAUUCCAGAGUAUGAGCAAUAUUUGGAAGAAUUGGGACACAACUUUCUUCUUGAAUGCACACGGGAUGAGUACAGGCAGAGCACCGGGGUGAAAUUUCACUGCCAUGCUUUCCAGAGCACAGUCGUUAUCUGGAAAGAAAAUUACUUGUGUUCCCAGAUGGUCAUUCUGCUAUAUGUAAGAGAUACAUAGAUUCAAAGACACUAAGGCUGGAAGGGACCUUGGAAAAUCACCAAGUCCAGCCCCCUGCUCAAGGGGCAGGAGGUCAGCAGGGGUCACACGAUCCCAGCGAGAUAAACAUCCAAAUGUCACUUGAAGGCAUUCAAAGUAGGUGCUUGAACCACCUCCGGCAGCAGUCUAUUCCAGACCUGGGGGGUUCAGACAGUAAAGAAGUUCUUCCUUGUGUCCAGCCUGAAACAGUCAUGGAGGAGUUUGUGACCAUUCGACUUUGUCAUCCCUUGGGGCGCUCUGGUGAAUAAACGUUCCCCCUUAUGAAGAG